UGUGUCAGCAAGUACGACCUGCUGGUCUGGUUUGAGAUCAGCGAGCUGGAGCCCACUGGAGAGUACAUCCCAGCCAUCGUGGAUCACAGUGGAGGCCUGCCCUGUCAUGGUACCUACCUGCUGCACCAGGGGAUCCAGCGGAGGAU